UAGACGAAACUCUAUUUUAUCAAAAAUGCUUAAGUAUUUUCCAGUGUGACUCCUGUUGAAGCCGAGGCGAAUAGCUGAAACACGUAGCAUUUCAUCUCUUUUUUGCCUCACCAUUGUACGGAAACCAUGUAGCUGUACGGAUGUGUAAAGAAUGCUGCUGAAUGUAGCUGGAACAGAACAUAUUGGAAUUUUAGCGUCAGGACAUCUUGCUGGUUGGACGAUUAAACAUCCCUCUGUUGGGACACAGACAUUGUGUCUAGUUUGAUCUUUAGAUUAUUUCUGGGAUAAUAACUUUGCCACCAACACUGUGACUUUGAUAACUAGCAGUUGAACAGCCUUUCAAUUCUAAACAAAAGGAGUCAUGUUGACAUGACACUAUAUGGCUGGUAUUGGAGUAGGUAAUGCUGUUCGUGUGCAGAAUAUGUCUCUGAGAAGGGGU